GAUUUUCAUUUAAAUUGACCAAGUUGAUAGAUGGAUUGAUGCUCCUAGCUCGUCAUGAUUUAAGUCCAACGGCCAGCACUGACAGCCUCCAUAGACUUGAAUGGAACUCUUUCACCCACCUAACGAAUCUUUCACCAUAAUUGACGACGUAGCGAAGCCAGCCAUAAGCCAAACAGGAUUCUUUUUUAUAAUGUGAAACAAUAUACCUACAUCUAUUUUCUCGGUUGUUAACUUUGUCCACCUAAAAACAAAA